rnacentral:rRNA from 1 species
UACAGAGGGCGCGAGCGUUGUCCGGAAUCACUGGGCGUAAAGGGCGCGUAGGUGGCCACCAUAAGGCCGCGGUGAAAGUUCGGGGCUCAACCCCGGAUCGGCCGCGGCGACUGUGGGGCUUGGGUACUGUAGAGGCAGAUGGAAUUCCGGGUGUAGCGGUGGAAUGCGUAGAGAUCCGGAAGAACACCAGUGGCGAAGGCAGCUCGCUGGGACGGUACUGGCGCUGAGACGCGAAAGCGUGGGGAGCAAACAGG